UACGAACCGUGCAAACGUUAUUCGGAAUCACUGGGCUUAAAGGGCGCGUAGGCGGGUAACCAAGUCCGGGGUGAAAUCCUCCAGCUUAACUGGAGAAGUGCCUCGGAUACUGGUCGUCUCGAGGAGGGUAGGGGCAUCUGGAACUAGCGGUGGAGCGGUGAAAUGCGUUGAUAUCGCUAGGAACUCCGGUGGCGAAGGCAAGGUGCUGGACCCUUUCUGACGCUGAGGCGCGAAAGCCAGGGGAGCGAACGGG
rnacentral:rRNA from 1 species